GGAUAUCCAAGCAGACGCGCGCGACUGCUAGUCGGUCUUCUCCCGUGUCCCCUUGGCCGGCUGCGGAGAGACUCGUACGCUUACCGUCGGCCCCCGGUUCUCCGCGUUCUUUACGCCGCGUACUCACGCGGAUUAAACGGAGGGAAAAAACGGGAACUCGUCUAAACCCGGAUCACCGGGCAGACUCGUUCGCUCCACCCGCGGGAAUGAUGGUUUAAUUGGAUUGCGCUCUGGCGUUGGCCGAUGCUGCGAAGAUGCGUGAUCGGGUGGACGCUGUUUGUUGGGGGUGGAGGUGGAGUGUCGGUGGCUGAGAUCUAAUUUCGGAUGAGUGAAGUCGAAUAUUCGGAGUGUAAGAGUUCAGUCGGUUGAGUUCAAGAGUGCGAGGUGAAUGCCGACAUUUCGAGAGAUAAAACAUAUUUGGAACACCAAGUCGCAAACAGAUGAUUUAAUUACUCAAACAGCAGAUCGGUCCUCGUCGUCGAAGCAGCUCGCAGUACCUCAACGAAGCAGCCUAACCCAUUAAACAAACAACUUCCUUCAAGGU